rnacentral:tRNA from 2 species
GCCUCAAUAGCAAAAUUGGUAAUGCACACGAUUUGUAAUCGUGAGAUUUUUCCGUUCGAGUCGGAAUUGGGGCAC